rnacentral:rRNA from 1 species
GAUGAACGCUGGCGGUGUGCUUAACACAUGCAAGUCGAACGGCAACCCCGGAGCUUGUUCUGUGGGCUCAGUGGGGAACGCGUGCGUAACACGUGAGCAACCUGCCCUUGAUUCUGGGAUAAGCGCUCGAAACGGCACUUAAUAUUGUAUCUGUGACGUCCCCGCAUGGUAUGCGUUUGGAAUGCUGUCGUGGCUCGGGAUGGGCUCGCGGCCUAGCAGCUUGUUGGUGAGGGAUUGGCGCACCAAGGCGUCGACGGGUAGCCGGCCUGGGAGGGUGACCGGCCACACUGGGACUGAGACACGGCCCAGACUCCUACGGGAGGCAGCAGUGGGGAAUAUUGCACAAUGGGCGCAAGCCUGAUGCAGCAACGCCGCGUGAGGGAUGACGGCCUUCGGGUUGUAAACCUCUUUUAGCAGGGAAGAAGCGAAAGUGACGGUACCUGCAGAAAAAGCGCCGGCUAACUACGUG